AACGAACGCUGGCGGCAGGCUUAACACAUGCAAGUCGAGCGCGUAGCAAUACGAGCGGCAGACGGGUGAGUAACACGUGGGGAUCUGCCAAAUGGUACGGAAUAACUCAGGGAAACUUGUGCUAAUACCGUAUGUGCCCUUCGGGGGAAAGAUUUAUCGCCAUUGGAUGAACCCGCGUCAGAUUAGCUAGUUGGUAGGGUAAAGGCCUACCAAGGCGACGAUCUGUAGCAGGUCUGAGAGGAUGAUCAGCCACACUGGGACUGAGACACGGCCCAGACUCCUACGGGAGGCAGCAGUGGGGAGUAUUGGACAAUGGGCGCAAGCCUGAUCCAGCCAUGCCGCGUGAGUGAUGAAGGCCUUAGGGUUGUAAAGCUCUUUCGUGGGGGAAGAUAAUGACGGUACCCCAAGAAGAAGCCCCGGCUAACUUCGUGCCAGCAGCCGCCGUAAUAC
rnacentral:rRNA from 1 species